rnacentral:rRNA from 1 species
GCCUACGGGGGGCAGCAGUCGGGAAUAUUGCGCAAUGGAGGAAACUCUGACGCAGUGACGCCGCGUGCAGGAAGAAGGUUUUCGGAUUGUAAACUGCUUUAGACAGGGAAGAAAAAAGACAGUACCUGUAGAAUAAGCUCCGGCUAACUACGUGCCAGCAGCCGCGGUAAUACGUAGGGUGCGAGCGUUAAUCGGAAUUACUGGGCGUAAAGGGUGUGCAGGCGGCUGAGUAAGACAGAUGUGAAAUCCCCGGGCUUAACCUGGGAACCGCAUAUGUGACUGCUUGGCUAGAGUGCGUCAGAGGG